UGCGCGUGCACCUUUUGCUGGCGACGCGCUGCAACGUAUGGUUGGACUACGUGGACGAGUGUUGGUGGGCCAGCGAGGUGUAGAAACAAUAAGAGUGCACGUUCCUCGCGAUCUCGAAGUCGUCGAUCAACGUCGCUGCAGCAUGGAACUGAAGGUCGCCGUUAAUCAAGGUGCCACAGCUACGGGUGCCCUUGAAGACACACGUCAUCUCAACGUAUGGGAGACUUUCACGAGUGCAUUGUUGACCAUUCACCGUUGCAUUGUAAACUUGACACUGCACAUAUCUGCUGUCAAACGGGUACCUCGACACUUCUACCAGAGCUUUAGUUUGCGAAAUGGAGUCGCGCAGAUCAACAGUCGAAGUAUCGGCAUUUCCCAACCCUUUUCGAGAUUUUCUAGUACCUUGCAUCAGUACUGUGCGCAGGUUGCAAAAUUACCAGCUGGCUGGAAUACGCGUAAAUCACAUCUCUGCGCAAGAUCGUGACAACCUACCGCAGGAGAUGUUCUUGGAAGAGAUUCUGAUGCUUGGACAUCUGCAAUUGAACGAUAACAGGCUUGCGCCAAUACUGCAGGCAACCGCAGACAUGCCAUUCCUAAACCAACUAGGAAUACAUCUCCACAACACAGGUGCGGCAUCAGGUGGCUUACGAGAUGUAGGGCUUGCCCUGACUCGGCGCAGCUCGGGCGAACAUCGGAGGUUGCGAUGUGAGGUCGAUCCAAAGUUCGCGAAUUUGCUGGACUGCGCGUGCGGGAACCAACUUGACACCGGCGAGCUCCUGAGACUGCUCGCAUGUCGCGAGCUCACAGGUUUGGAGAGUGCCAUGGCGAAGUACCUACUUACAGUCACACGUCCAAUAGAUCCUGUCAAUAACGUUUUAAAUGUAAAGAUAACUGUACGCGCGCGGAACGAAGAUGAGGGCCGCUGACUGUGCUCUUCAGGAGCGACUUCGGAAAGUGCUUUUCGAUAAGGGAUAACCAUGUUCUUCGACGUUCCUAAAUAGGGACUCGAAAAAAUUAUUUGGAAGCAAGACGCAUCGGCACCUUCGCUCCCUUUGCGUGGUUAUUACCCUGUAGGAAUGUGCCACUAGACUACGC
rnacentral:lncRNA from 1 species